CGGAAGAAGUCGGUUUGCUUCCUUUCUCUAAUAGGUAAUCAGCACUCCGCAUCUUCUUGAAUGCCUCUACAUCUGCAGCUGUUGCAGCAGGACAAUCCCUCCAUCACACAAGGACAUUUCCGGCCAGCUCGCGCAGCGUCAGUGUCAGUGUCGAAUGGUAUGCAAGACGACACACUUUGCCCUUUCUUAUUUCUUCCACAAGAACAGGUUUUUCUUUGACCGUUCGAAGCGGCCUCAUUGGCAUUUUCUGUAAAGAUAAAAUAAAAUAAGAUAAAAGAURAAAUAACAAUGAAACAUUUGUUAUCCAAACUUCGUAUGACUGUAUUUCAAAAGACUAUAUUUCGAUCAAUUCACGAAUCACGCGCUUUUUUCCCCGUGAAUUAAAACUGAAUAUAUCAAAAAAUGCAUGAAUGAGAACUUAUGAUAUCUCGAAUCAUGCACUCGCGGAUUUAAGUCAAAUAACAGAUCACGUAAAACCCCUUCCAGUCCCUGAUAUGAUAUCGUUCAAAUUACCUUCAUCGUUGUUCAGCAAUGAAGUAGCGUCGUAAUGACCUGGACCAUAGGCAUUAAAGGACAUGCAUAGCA